GUGGCAUCACGGUUCUCUAUGCCCAAGUCAUAGCUGAGGAAGGGAAAAAAUAGAAGUAUGGCUUUUCAAAUAAGCUGAUAAGAUUAUAAAGCAUGAGAACAGUGAUGACAGGCAGAAAGGUCCUAAGGACAUCUGAAUCUAAGGAUAUCUGAAU